GACGAACGCUGGCGGCGUGCUUAACACAUGCAAGUCGAACGAUGAACCCGGAGCUUGCUCCGGUGGAUUAGUGGCGAACGGGUGAGUAACACGUGAGUAACCUGCCCUUGACUCUGGGAUAACUGCGGGAAACUGUAGCUAAUACCGGAUACGACCCUCGGCGGCAUCGCCAGGGGGUGGAAAGAAUUUCGGUCAAGGAUGGACUCGCGGCCUAUCAGCUAGUUGGGGAGGUAACGGCUUACCAAGGCGACGACGGGUAGCCGGCCUGAGAGGGUGACCGGCCACACUGGGACUGAGACACGGCCCAGACUCCUACGGGAGGCAGCAGUGGGGAAUAUUGCACAAUGGGCGCAAGCCUGAUGCAGCAACGCCGCGUGAGGGAUGACGGCCUUCGGGUUGUAAACCUCUUUCAGCACCGACGAAGCGCAAGUGACGGUAGGUGCAGAAGAAGGACCGGCCAACUACGUGCCAGCCGCCGCAGUAA
rnacentral:rRNA from 1 species